rnacentral:rRNA from 1 species
UACGUAGGUGGCAAGCGUUGUCCGGAAUUAUUGGGCGUAAAGCGCGCGCAGGUGGUUUCUUAAGUCUGAUGUGAAAGCCCACGGCUCAACCGUGGAGGGUCAUUGGAAACUGGGGAACUUGAGUGCAGGAGAGGAGAGUGGAAUUCCUGGUGUAGCGGUGAAAUGCGCAGAUAUCGGGAAGAACACCCGUGGCGAAGGCGGUUCUCUGGGACGGUACUGACGCUGAGACGCGAAAGCGUGGGGAGCAAACAGG